rnacentral:rRNA from 1 species
GGGGGGGGGGGGGGGCGGGGGGAACAGGGGGGGGGCGGGGGGGGGGGGGGAGCGGGCGCCUGGAUGCGGCGGGGGACGGGGGAGGAAGGCCUAGGAAUCUGGCUGGGAGGGGGGGGUAACGGCCGGAGACGGGCGGUAAUACCGCAUACGGACUGAGGGGGAAGGUGGGGGAUCUUCGGACCUCACGCUAUCAGGUGAGCCUAGGUCGGAUUAGCACGUUGGUGGGGUAAAGGCCUACCAAGGCGACGAUCCGUCACUGGGCUGAGAGGAUGAUCAGUCACCCUGGAACUGAGACACGGUCCAAUCUCCUACGGGAGGCAGCAGUGGGGAAUAUUGGACAAUGGGCGAAAGCCUGAUCCAGCCAUGCCGCGUGUGUGAAGAAGGUCUUCGGAUUGUAAAGCACUUUAAGUUGGGAGGAAGGGCAGUAAGUUAAUACCUUGCUGUUUUGACGUUACCAACAGAAUAAGCACCGGCUAACUUCGUG